UGAAACUAGAUACAAGCCGAGCGGCGGACGGGUGAGUAACACGUGGGUAACCUGCCCAAGAGACUGGGAUAACACCUGGAAACAGAUGCUAAUACCGGAUAACAACACUAGACGCAUGUCUAGAGUUUGAAAGAUGGUUCUGCUAUCACUCUUGGAUGGACCUGCGGUGCAUUAGCUAGUUGGUAAGGUAACGGCUUACCAAGGCAAUGAUGCAUAGCCGAGUUGAGAGACUGAUCGGCCACAUUGGGACUGAGACACGGCCCAAACUCCUACGGGAGGCAGCAGUAGGGAAUCUUCCACAAUGGACGAAAGUCUGAUGGAGCAACGCCGCGUGAGUGAAGAAGGGUUUCGGCUCGUAAAGCUCUGUUGGUAGUGAAGAAAGUUAGAGGUAGUAACUGGCCUUUAUUUGACGGUAAUUACUUAGAAAGUCACGGCUAACUACGUGCCAGCAGCCGCGGUAAUACGUAGGUGGCAAGCGUUGUCCGGAUUUAUUGGGCGUAAAGCGAGUGCAGGCGGUUCAAUAAGUCUGAUGUGAAAGCCUUCGGCUCAACCGGAGAAUUGCAUCAGAAACUGUUGAACUUGAGUGCAGAAGAGGAGAGUGGAACUCCAUGUGUAGCGGUGGAAUGCGUAGAUAUAUGGAAGAACACCAGUGGCGAAGGCGGCUCUCUGGUCUGCAACUGACGCUGAGGCUCGAAAGCAUGGGUAGCGAACAGGAUUAGAUACCCUGGUAGUCCAUGCCGUAAACGAUGAGUGCUAAGUGUUGGGAGGUUUCCGCCUCUCAUGCUGCAGCUAACGCAUUAAGCACUCCGCCUGGGGAGUACGACCGCAAGGUUUGAAACUCAAAAGGAAUUUGACGGGGGGCCCCGCACAAGCC
rnacentral:rRNA from 1 species